rnacentral:rRNA from 1 species
GGCGCCUACCAUGCAAGUCGGGCGGUAACACAGGGAGCUUGCUCCUGGGUGACGAGCGGCGGACGGGUGAGUAAUGUCUGGGAAACUGCCUGAUGGAGGGGGAUAACUACUGGAAACGGUAGCUAAUACCGCAUAACGUCUUCGGACCAAAGUGGGGGACCUUCGGGCCUCAUGCCAUCAGAUGUGCCCAGAUGGGAUUAGCUAGUAGGUGGGGUAACGGCUCACCUAGGCGACGAUCCCUAGCUGGUCUGAGAGGAUGACCAGCCACACUGGAACUGAGACACGGUCCAGACUCCUACGGGAGGCAGCAGUGGGGAAUAUUGCACAAUGGGCGCAAGCCUGAUGCAGCCAUGCCGCGUGUAUGAAGAAGGCCUUCGGGUUGUAAAGUACUUUCAGCGAGGAGGAAGGCAUUAAGGUUAAUAACCUUGGUGAUUGACGUUACUCGCAGAAGAAGCACCGGCUAACUCCGUGCCAGCAGCCGCGGUAAUACGGAGGGUGCAAGCGUUAAUCGGAAUUACUGGGCGUAAAGCGCACGCAGGCGGUCUGUCAAGUCGGAUGUGAAAUCCCCGGGCUCAACCUGGGAACUGCAUUCGAAACUGGCAGGCUAGAGUCUUGUAGAGGGGGGUAGAAUUCCAGGUGUAGCGGUGAAAUGCGUAGAGAUCUGGAGGAAUACCGGUGGCGAAGGCGGCCCCCUGGACAAAGACUGACGCUCAGGUGCGAAAGCGUGGGGAGCAAACAGGAUUAGAU